AGGCUGACAGCUGUAGCUCCGAUUCCACCCCCCGAGCCUGGGAACCUCCAUAUGACACAGGUGCGGCCCUAAAAAGCAAAAAUCCAUCAUCAAUAAAAAUAAAAGCUAAAAAAAACGUUUUGAAAAGCUUUUUCUAGCACAAUGGCUUUUUCACUCCGUAAACAACACUGGGCUUUUUCACCACGGUUUGGAUUUCACUCUCCUACGGCACCAGCGUACAUGUUAUUUAGUAGAUACUGGCAGAGUCAUAUAACAACGAACACUGAAGAUGGAGGGCAACUUACUCAUCCUUUGAAAGGUUAAGGAAACCAACGCCAGAGCUAUGAGUAACCUGUCACACUUCUACAGAACCCAGUUCUUCUCAGGUCAAUCAUUAAACUGGCUUUCUUCCCCGUGGUGGUUACUGGCGGACCAGGCGAGUGUGUCGGGCACAGUACCACUACAGCUCAGGACCGGGCUUCUCGCAUACGUAACCCGGUUCACCCCGAUGUCUACAAACGUCCCCACGGACAAUAAUCCUUGCUGAACAGCAGUCUGGUGGCAAAGGGAAAUGAAGACGGACAAAACGACGUCACUCGACAUGGAAACCAGAAUGCUUUCUCUUUAAUGGGGGUGGGGAAAGUCUCCAUUUUAGCACGUGACACCAAGGCCCUUCCUCAGAGAGACGAUCAGAGCUCACUCUUGAGAGAGCUUAUUACCCACAAACCAGCCACACAUAAGACACAGGAGGAGAAUUCCAAAACUAAGGAAGAGGGUAAUGACGGGCUUCCUGCCAACGGUGUACAGACUGGAAUGAGCCUCGGAGAUGCUGUGCUGCAAGCCAACACUGGCAGGUCCAGUGACCAGGUAAGCCUUUGUGGGGGCUGGAGCAGAGCAGGAUGGAGGAGCCCUGCCACAGUUUAGAAAAGUACCUGGGGAGUUCCUGGCAUGGCUUAGCAGAAAUGAAUUUGACUAGUAUCCGUGCGGACAAAGGUUCGAUCCCUGGCCUCGCUCCGUGAGUUAAGGAUCUGGCGUUGCUGUGAGCUGUGGUGUAGGCUGCAGAUGUGGCUUGGAUCUGGCAUUGCUGUGGCUGUGGUGUAGGCCGAUGGCUACAGCUCCUAUUCCACCCCUAGCCUAGGAACUUCCAUAUGCCGUGGGUGCACCCCCCCCCCAAAAGGAAAGGACAGAAAGAAAAGCACCUGGCAGUAAAAAUACUGGCACAAACACAAUUAUUGCCUGUACCAUUUCUGUGUGACUCUUGGAACGCAGCAGUUCCCCAAAAAGGUUAGACCCAGAUCAAAAGGAAGGGAGCGGAAAGGGGAAGAAACCUUCACCGAGGGUUUCUGGCCACACUUCAGACCAGCAGUUCGUCCUCCUACCAAGAACCCUCUCUCUCCAACUCGGGUGUUCACGAGCUUCAGGACACCAGCAUUCUCUUUCCUCUCACUAAUGAACUGUAUCGAGAGCAAACCUCUAACAACAAUCAUUGAAAAGGAAAGUGAUAUUCAAUUUUAAAACACUUCUAAUUAAAUCUGCAUUUUUUGGACAGUUUUAUUGACAUUACACAACAAUUCCUGCUCAGCUCACUGAAAUACGUGCCUCUCUUUAGAGGAUACACCUUUC
rnacentral:lncRNA from 1 species